rnacentral:lncRNA from 8 species
CGUUGCCUCAGGAAUGAUGCCAAACAGAAUGUUCAGAAAUCACUUGAAUUACAACAAAACCAAAUGAUCAUUCACCAUCUACUCUUGAAAGAAAGUGACAUGAUUCAAUUCCCAACCACGAAAGACCAACUUCUUCCUGUCAGAAUAACUGGUGACUUCUCUCCAGUGUGUGACACGAGACAAAUGAGCUCCUCAGCCAUGCUGGGCACCACUUCCAUGCAGAUGCAGGCUCCAUACAUGUUGCCUCAGCAGCCCAAGGGGUCAUGGGUCCACAGUCAUGCCCAGGUGUACUACCCACAGACAUGGACAAGGAGGACCCAAGGCUACCUAUCCCAUUCUGCCACCCAGACCCAACGGGUGUCUGCCCAGUACAUGCAGAGUGCGCUCCUCUGGCUGCCUCAACACCAGCUACACCAAGACCAGCGUGUGACACAGUGGAGGCCUGAGUCAAGCAGGAUGGCCUACCAGGCUAGGGUCCCCUGGUCCUACAGGCAACACCUCACAGGAGGGCCCAUGGAUGCUAGGAUGUACCCUAUCUUUUCCACAGAGCCCCAACAAGCCCCCACUGGCCUCCUCCCUCAGGCCGGAGACAGCAGCACUCACCUGGCCCCUCACCAUCAGCUUGGAGGUCCCUUCCAGGCAGGCUCCAACCACCCUCUGUUCGAGUUCCAGAGCUAUAGCCUCAGGACUGCAAGAGUCUCCCAGGCCUCUCGGACCCAGGUCACCUGCCCCAGCCUGUCCCUGCAGGGGUUAGGAGAUAGUUCCCUGCCUGCAGUCACCUCCCUGGAGGAGGCUAUGAAGAUUUUCCACUGUGAGUCUGAGGAUGAACCCAGGCAGCAGGCUGAGGCUGGGCUGAGUGUUCUGGUGCCACAGGGAGUGUUGUCCAGCCCCACACAAGAGGGUUCAGGCAGAGGUAAGUGUCCCUCCACCCUGGAUCACUCCCUGGACCAGGAAGACCUAGAGGCCUGUAUGCAGCGCCUGCUGGAGUCGCAGGGAUCAGAGGGGUCUGUGUGCAUAGCCGCAGCAGGGGAGUCUGGCAUGGAGUUCUUCUAUGAGGUAGACAGCCUGGGCAGCCUGUGUGACCUCCAGCUGUUUGGACAGUAUGUGUCCAGCAGCAACACAGAGGAGGGCAGUGCCAACAACAACAUGGAUAACUGAAAUAACCACAUCUUUUAGCGUUAUUUUCAUGUUCAUUCAUUAUUUUUUUAUUACAAAAGCAUUAUCAUUAAAAAUGGAUUGUUGAAAA